rnacentral:rRNA from 1 species
UACGAAGGGGGCUAGCGUUGUUCGGAUUUACUGGGCGUAAAGCGCACGUAGGCGGAUCGAUCAGUCAGGGGUGAAAGCCUGUGGCUCAACCACAGAAAUGGCCCUCGAUACUGGACGGCUCGAGACCGGAAGAGGUUGGUGGAAUUGCGAAGUGUAGAGGUGAAAAUUCGUAAGAUAUUCGCAAAGAACACCGGUGGCCGAAGGCGGCCAAACUGGUCCGGAU